rnacentral:tRNA from 1 species
UCCUCUGUAGUUCAGUCGGUAGAACGGCGGACUGUUAAUCCGUAUGUCACUGGUUCGAGUCCAGUCAGAGAAU